rnacentral:lncRNA from 1 species
AACCCAAGCGAAAACAUCCGCAUUCUUUCGUAGAAAAUCGAUGAGAUGCGUCCGCACCUCUUCCCCUAGGUUGGAGCCGAUCUUCACCACAUGCUCCGCAUUCCCGUCGUUCAAAGGGAUCGAAACUAGAUCUUCGAUUGGGCCGCCCCUCUCCUCAGUGAGGUCGUCGCGGGCAUCCAGCCCAUCAACUGGACAGGGGUCGGAUUGGUUGCUUCUUUGCAAGGCUAUGUUGUAGUAGUGUCUGGCCAGGGCUUGGUCUCCUCUGACCUCUCCAAUCCCCUGGUUGGUAGGGAAUUUCAACUUCAAAUGGUAGGUUGACAUGACGGCUCGGAGAGCAUUGAGGCCAGGUCGGUCG